AACGAACGCUGGCAGCAUGCCUAACACAUGCAAGUCGAACGAGACCUUCGGGUCUAGUGGCGCACGGGUGCGUAACGCGUGGGAACCUGCCCUUAGGUUCGGAAUAACUCCCCGAAAGGGGUGCUAAUACCGGAUAAUGUCUUCGGACCAAAGAUUUAUCGCCUUUGGAUGGGCCCGCGUUGGAUUAGCUAGUUGGUAGGGUAAAAGCCUACCAAGGCGACGAUCCAUAGCUGGUCUGAGAGGAUGAUCAGCCACACUGGGACUGAGACACGGCCCAGACUCCUACGGGAGGCAGCAGUGGGGAAUAUUGGACAAUGGGCGAAAGCAUGAUCCGGCAAUGCCGCGUGAGUGAUGAAGGCCUUAGGGUUGUAAAGCUCUUUUACCCGGGAUGAUAAUGACAGUACCGGGAGAAUAAGCACCGGCUAACUCCGUG
rnacentral:rRNA from 1 species